UGGGGAAUAUUGGACAAUGGGCGGAAGCCUGAUCCAGCAACGCCGCGUGGGGGAUGACGGCCUUCGGGUUGUAAACCUCUUUCGCCUAGGACGAAGCGCAAGUGACGGUACUAGGUAAAGAAGCACCGGCCAACUACGUGCCAGCAGCCGCGGUAAUACGUAGGGUGCGAGCGUUGUCCGGAAUUAUUGGGCGUAAAGGGCUCGUAGGCGGUUUGUCGCGUCGGGAGUGAAAACCACAUGCUUAACAUGU
rnacentral:rRNA from 1 species